CGACGUAGUUGAUCCGUGCUCAGGACGAACGCUGGCGGCGUGCUUAACACAUGCAAGUCGAACGGGGCGAAGUGAUAGCUUGCUAUUAUGGAGCCUAGUGGCAAACGGGUGAGUAACGCGUAGGCAACCUGCCCUUCAGAUGGGGACAACACCUCGAAAGGGGUGCUAAUACCGAAUGACGUUUCCUGGUCGCAUGACCUGGAAACCAAAGGCCGGGCAACCGGUCACUGAAGGAUGGGCCCGCAUCUGAUUAGCUAGUUGGUGAGAUAACAGCCCACCAAGGCGACGAUCAGUAGCCGACCUGAGAGGGUGAUCGGCCACAUUGGGACUGAGACACGGCCCAAACUCCUACGGGAGGCAGCAGGUGGGGAAUAUUGCACAAUGGGGGAAACCCUGAUGCAGCAACGCCGCGUGAAGGAUGAAGGUUUUCGGAUCGUAAACUUCUAUCAACAGGGAAGAAACAAAUGACGGUACCUGAAUAAGAAGCCCCGGCUAACUACGUG
rnacentral:rRNA from 1 species